AUUUUUUUCCCCCUCUCCUAGCCUCAUUCUCGCCCGUGUCCCAGAGCGACAACCCCAUACAUUUUUUGUAACGUUACAGCAUAAAGCAUCAGCCUCAUCUGGCUCAUGUUCUGUAGUUUCUGUAACGUAACGGUCUGCUGCAGUGUCACCCGAAGCUGCAGUAGCUUCAGGGGCAGGCUUAAGAAAAUAAUGAGAGUGUAGUUUGAGUUGGCUUUCAUUUCAUAUCUACUUUAGUGAUUCACAUUACUUAAUUUCAUGUUUGCACAGAGAAUGACCGUCAAGCAACUGUGUUGUUGUUCCUAGGUGACUCGCAACACAGACGGGGUAUAUGGAAAUUCUUGACCUUUCCUAGUGGGUAUAUGGCGUAUAAAGUACCUGCGUAUCAUGUAGACUGCACCACUGAGUGUGUGUUCUGUCCUCUGGAGUGUUCAUACUGCCUGUGCGCUUUUGUUCAUUCAGCUGAGUUGAUGAUGAUGUUUUGAUUGCGGGGAUUAUCCACCCAGCCGGGAUGUAAUAUUGCGUGAUUCUAUCGUCGGUGCAGUUUGAUGUGGAACAGGCUGAAUGGAGGCCAGAAGUCCUGACUUACAGGGCUUUGAGGUAACCUGGCCUGGAUUUACACCGCUGCCAAGGUACCUGUCGACAGCCGGUAGGGUGCUGAGUUUUGCAGGUGGCGUGCCAGGUGGCGGCCAGCCCGGUUUGUUGCAGAGAUAAAGAGGCUGUCCUCGCUCGUCCCUCUCUCAGGUCGAGCCUGUUUGGAGUUUGUUGCUCUUUUAAGGAAGUGCUGAAAAUAAUAUAAGAUGGAAAGUGAUAAGGGGUGGGGGGGGGGGGGGUUGCACCAGUAGUCAGUCCUACAGAUGGAGCCAAUUAGCAGGCACAAACUGCAAAAAAAAAAGCAGAACAUUUUUUCUUAAGUGCUUCUACCAACAAAUCAUUCUCUCACAUGCUUGGGUAGACUUGCCAUAGUUCCCAAAGUGUGAAACAGUGUGUGAAUAAAAGGAAGUUUGAGGAUAGAAUAUGUGAAAUGUAUUCUUGUGCAAAAAUGUUUUUGAAGGAAAUCACAGGUUUAACACUAAUAAGAGCAAUGAAAAGAUGUCUGCCUCAUUUUGCCCUCUGAUGUUAUGCAGUGUGUGGGCUAAAUAUAGAUUUCUGCUUCCUCUUCAAGAAGCACAAGCUGCACUUCAAAAAACAUUAACUUACCUGAUAGCAAUUACAAAGAACAUAUCCUGGGCACAUGCAUAUCUGUGCCAAAUGAAUAUGCACAAGUGGGAGGACUUUGUAGAAAAAGUCUUGUAGCAUAAAGAUCAGCAGGACAGGAUGCUGACCUUGCCCCCCUCAGCCUCGGGGUUAAGACACAAGGAAGUGCUUGUUGGUUAUCUCAGGGAAGCAAACCAUAGGUGUUAAAAUGCGACACGGGGCAGCACAAAGGGAUGUUUACACUCCCUGCUGUCGCCAAUAAGUAGCCGGCAUCGUUAGCUCCAGUGAUGCUAACGUGCAGUGACGCGAAAGGUGUCGUCAUCAAGAGAUGUGUCAGCCAUCUGGUUAAGUUAUCGAGGAAGGAAGUUUGGUGGACAGCUGACGCAAGCAGUGAGGGAGCGGGGUCACGGUUGCUAGGAUACGUUGGCUAGGGGGAUGGUGGUGGGGACUGCAGCAGCGUUCGCUCCCUUCAUCAGCAGUACGAGACGCUCCUCCGCAGCCUCAGAGCAAUAAAUACUCACCACCCACAGUAAACGGGCACAUUUACCAGAUUGCAAUCUCCAGCAUAUCCUGGCAAACUGCAGUGAUUUGAAGACGUAUCACUGGGGAUGUUGGGGAGGAUAACCCCACUUAGUUUACUCAGUUUACCACCUUCUUUUUGUGCAGAAUAAGUCUUAUAUCAAAUAUAAUAAUAAUAUAUCAAACUGAUGCAAGCUACUCUACAUAAUUGCAGGGUCUGUUCAAGAUAGUAAUAGAUACGAUAAGUUAUCUGCUUCGCUGGAAGUGAAGUAUUUCACAUUUCUGGUUUUAAUAGUCAGAUGAAGAACUGAUAUUUGGCACAGAAGGCUUCAUCAACAGAAUGUAUUUAAGAGGAAAAAGUCACACAGUUAUUUUGUUUGAUCGAAUAGUGAUCACUGCAAUCACUAAUAUUAUAUAGUCAAAUGAUUAUGUGUAAUGUUAAAGUGGUGGCUCAUGGUGACAACGCCACAGAGAAUUAUCACUCAACUCUGCAGCUCACCUCACCUUUACGAAGCAUUGUAGCAUCUUUGAGCUCAUUGUUUUGGUUUUACGGCUGCAACUUUACUGUUGCAGUUGGCAGCUGGUAGUUAAAAUUUUGAUAAACCCAUACGCCAUACGUUUACUGCCCAGAACCAAAUGGCAGACAGCAGCAAAAUUAGCAACUAGCUGGCCAGAAUCACAUCUCCUAAUUAAUGCUUUUGUUGCUUCGUCUGCUGAAUGUGUCUAGUUUAUAAGGUCAUAUGUCGGUGUUGUGUUUCCAGCUUGUACCGCUGCCCCAAAGUGGCCAAAAAAAGAUCAAUAAAUGCAGCUUUAAAAAUGAAGAAAGAUACUGUAAAUCAACUGACGUUUGCUGAUACUCAUGCUGCUCGCAAAGAAGAAGAAAGGCUUUAACUGCUACUUUU